UCCUACGGGAGGCAGCAGUGGGGAAUAUUGCGCAAUGGAGGAAACUCUGACGCAGCGACGCCGCGUGGGUGAAGAAGGCCUUAGGGUUGUAAAGCCCUUUCAGUGGGAAAGAUGAUGACGGUACCCACAGAAGAAGCCCCGGCUAACUCCGUGCCAGCAGCCGCGGUAAUACGGAGGGGGCCAGCGUUGUUCGGAAUUACUGGGCGUAAAGGGCGCGUAGGCGGUUGAUCAAGUCAGGAGUGAAAUCCUCGGGCUUAACCCGGGAACUGCUUCUGAAACUGGUCGACUUGAGUACGGUAGAGGAUGGUGGAAUUCCCCGUGUAGAGGUGAAAUUCGUAGAUAUGGGGAGGAAGACCGGAGGCGAAGGCGGCCAUCUGGACCGAAACUGACGCUAAGGCGCGAAAGCGUGGGGAGCAAACAGGAUUAGAUACCCUGGUAGUCCACGCUGUAAACGAUGAGUGCUAGUCGUCGCGGGUAUCGACCCCUGCGGCGACGAAGUUAACACGUUAAGCACUCCGCCUGGGGAGUACGGCCGCAAGGCUAAAACUCAAGGAAUUGACGGA
rnacentral:rRNA from 1 species